rnacentral:rRNA from 1 species
AGGGCACCACCAGGAGUGGAGCCUGCGGCUUAAUUUGACUCAACACGGGAAAACUCACCCGGCCCGGACACUGGAAGGAUUGACAGAUUGAGAGCUCUUUCUUGAUUCAGUGGGUGGUGGUGCAUGGCCGUUCUUAGUUGGUGGAGUGAUUUGUCUGGUUAAUUCCGAUAACGAACGAGACUCUAGCCUACUAAAUAGAUCGUCGGCUUACAAACGCCGGCGAGACUUCUUAGAGGGACAGGCGGUGAUUCAACCGCACGGAACAGAGCAAUAACAGGUCUGUGAUGCCCUUAGAUGUCCGGGGCCGCACGCGCGCUACACUGAAGUGAUCAGCGUGCUUUUUCAACCUACUCUGUCAAGAGUGGGGAACCCAAUGAACCUUCUUCGUGAUUGGGAUAGGGGAUUGUAAUUGUUCCCCUUGAACGAGGAAUUCCCAGUAAGCGCGAGUCAUAAGCUCGCGUUGAUUACGUCCCUGCCCUUUGUACACACCGCCCGUCGCUACUACCGAUUGAAUGUUUU